UGGGGUGUAGCUCAGUGGCAGAGCAUUUGCCUUGCACACAGGAGGUCCUGGGUUUAAUUCCCAGCACUAAAA
rnacentral:tRNA from 1 species